rnacentral:rRNA from 1 species
UACGGGGGGGGCAAGCGUUGUUCGGAAUUACUGGGCGUAAAGGGCUCGUAGGCGGCCAACUAAGUCGGACGUGAAAUCCCUCGGCUUAACCGGGGAACUGCGUCCGAUACUGGAUGGCUUGAGUUUGGGAGAGGGAUGCGGAAUUCCAGGUGUAGCGGUGAAAUGCGUAGAUAUCUGGAGGAACACCGGUGGCGAAGGGCGGCAUCCUGGACCAAUUACUGACGCUGAGUGAGCGAAAGCCAGGGAGCAAAGCGG